GCACUUGCAGUCUCCUGAUCUUUUAUAUUGAGAGUCCCUCAGACCACUUGCUUUUGUCUCUCUAUCACUCCACUCCAUCUAAUCUCUCUUUCUCCCCCAAAUCCUCUUUCUUCUCUUUGAUUUUAUUUCUUUCUUGCUUUUUUCUGGAGACAAAGUGGGGAAUUAUUCGAAAUUCAAGCAGAAGUUGCUGCUAUUUUUUCUUGUUUUUUUCCCCUUCUCUCUCUUUAUCUCUUUCUUUGUGGACAGACAAGCGGAAUUCUACAUUAAUCAACUGGAAGUUGCUGCAAUUGUGUUUCUUAACUGCAACUGAAGGAGCCAUCCAAAGGGAUCGCAUUGAUCCUAACCCUUUAAUUUCUUGCCUUCACAUGUAGGGGAAGUAUUUGUAAUACUAGUUUCUUUUUAACUCCUAAACUGCAUGUGAUGUGAAGUGGGAUCAUGCUAUCCCUUUGGAUACCUCCUUUGGUAGCUAAGCUUCAUCCAAAAAAUGGAGAUCCAUCCAUCCCUUUAGGACCCUCAGGAGCAUGCACUUGUUGUCACUUGUCUGAGUUGCAGAUUCGCAUUCGCAUACAAGGGUUUGAGGCCGUAAGCCCUUGUGGAACAAACAAAAUGACGGUUUGUGUGAUAAGAGACGUCCAACAUCUUCAGCUGUAUGACAUCAAGGUACAAAGCUAGAAGCAGUCCAACAAGAAAUGUCGUCAUUUUUUAAGAACAAACUCGCAAGCAUGGCCAUGCCUGUGGCCCUGCGUUUCAAGAGUUGAUAUCACAUGGUACGUACGAAGACUUUAUUUAGGAUCCAAGGCAACGAAAGGUGAUACUACUACUAUACUAGUAUGUAUAUAUUUUUUUUUAAGGGGGAGCUUCAUUUCCUUCCCCCACCCCCACCCCCCGGCGCGGACAUUGGAGCUUGCCCUUGAGUUUUCCAAAGGCAAAGGAAUCGGCUGCCCACAUGCGGUGAGGACCUUAGAAAAAUUCCCCUCAAAAUUCAGAUAUAUAAAGUCUCUCUCUUUAUGAUGAUGAUCCGAUCCCCUCGUCACAUGACUCCCAACUUUCGACAACCUUGGUCUCCAGUGUGGAGUAUGGAGCAUGGACACACUUAUCACAUGAUCAGCCCAACGCCUUUGAGCUAUCCAAGACCGUAAUAGUUGUAUUGUACCGCUGCUACCAUUAAUAUUGCAUAGGAUCUUGAAUUUCAUUUCACAUUAUGGUACGUUGUUUGGUAAAGGGAAAGAAAACACAUUUACUCACAUUUAACGUUAAUAGUAGUAAUUCCUGGACACGCAAAUUUUUUGAACCAACUUCUGCAGGGGCUCAAUUUCCGGCUUGGUUUUCUUCUGUCUUCCAAGUUUACCUCUUCAAUAGAUUCAAGAGCGGACUGUCAUUUUAGCCCAACAUCCCCUUGAAUGGCAAUGCACGGAAGUAAAACUACUGGUGUGGACUGUGGUCAGUGGAGUACUAGACGAGACAGGUCAUGUACUUUGGUAUUCAUUUCUAGCUUCGUAUAAUCCCCCUCGACAUUUCAGUGCCAGUGAGGGUGAAUAAAAGGACAUACAUACAGCUCCAUAAAUGCUCAAAGCAUAUAUAGGGCAAAUGUGCUGGAUUGUAGAGUUUUAUCUUACGGUAAAAACGUAUUAAGUUGCUAAUACAGAACGUAUACCUCUACAGGUUUUAACAACACCUGGUUGGCUCCAUUCUUUAGUUGUCUAUAUAAAAGUUUUAGUUUCUUUCA